UGGGCAAUCUGCCCUGCACUCUGGGACAAGCCCUGGAAACGGGGUCUAAUACCGGAUACUGAUCAUCUUGGGCAUCCAAGGUGUUCGAAAGCUCCGGCGGUGCAGGAUGAGCCCGCGGCCUAUCAGCUUGUUGGUGAGGUAAUGGCUCACCAAGGCGACGACGGGUAGCCGGCCUGAGAGGGCGACCGGCCACACUGGGACUGAGACACGGCCCAGACUCCUACGGGAGGCAGCAGUGGGGAAUAUUGCACAAUGGGCGAAAGCCUGAUGCAGCGACGCCGCGUGAGGGAUGACGGCCUUCGGGUUGUAAACCUCUUUCAGCAGGGAAGAAGCGAAAGUGACGGUACCUGCAGAAGAAGCGCCGGCUAACUACGUGCCAGCAGCCGCGGUAAUACGUAGGGCGCGAGCGUUGUCCGGAAUUAUUGGGCGUAAAGAGCUCGUAGGCGGCUUGUCGCGUCGGUUGUGAAAGCCCGGGGCUUAACCCCGGGUCUGCAGUCGAUACGGGCAGGCUAGAGUUCGGUAGGGGAGAUCGGAAUUCCUGGUGUAGCGGUGAAAUGCGCAGAUAUCAGGAGGAACACCGGUGGCGAAGGCGGAUCUCUGGGCCGAUACUGACGCUGAGGAGCGAAAGCGU
rnacentral:rRNA from 1 species